AUAUUGCUCAAGCUUGCUAAACCUCCUGCUGUCCUGCCCUAGUGCUCCUCUCCUGUUGUUUCCCGGCCCCCUCCUUCCUCCCACGGUCCCACCAUCCCAGGGCCGCCGCGCUGCUUCUCUUUCCCGUCGCACCUCCAACGCUGCCGCCGCGGCAGAUUAAUCCAACACCGGGCCGGGAUACGUGACAGGUUUCUGAGCUCGCAGCUCUACGCCAGCGAUGCCGGAGACGGCGGCGCCGAUCGGCCUCUCAUGGGCGCCCAAGCUUCCUUCCUUCGCAACGACCAGCGGCGGCAGCAAGAGCGACCACGCGCCGAACCCGAGCGCUGCGCAGGGAUCGCUCUGGAACCGCGCGAGCGACCUCGUGGACGGGCUGUUCGUUGCCCCGAGGGACCCUAGGCAGCUGAAUAAGCUGGCCAGGAAGAACGUCAAGGACACUGCCGGCAAGGGCUGGUUCGACAUGCCAGCUCCGACCAUCACUCCCGAGUUGAAGAAGGAUCUCGAGAUUUUGCAGCUGAGGCAUGUAAUUGACCCAAAAAGGCACUUCAAGCGGGCAGGAAAAUCCAAGGCCCUUCCCAAGUACUUCCAAGUCGGUACGGUCGUUGAGCCUGCAUCUGAGUUCUACUCAAGUAGGCUGAAAAAUAGGGAACGCAAGGCAACAUUGGUUGACGAGCUGUUAUCAGAUCAAUCUCUGAAGAGCUACAGGAUGCGCAAGGUACGUGAAAUUCAGGAGAUCCGUACACCAGGAGGCAACCAAAAGUGGAAGAACAAGGGCAAGAAAACGCUCAAGAGGGCCAAGGAUAGGAGGAAAUGAGACUGGCGUGCUAGCCUUGUGGUCCAGUUGUGAGAGAACAGAUUGGAGAAGUGAACCAAGGAGCGCCUUCAAAUACCCCCUCUCUCGAUUUGUGCGGGCUCGUGGUUGUCAAUUCUGUCGGUUGGGAGCAGCACAGCACUGUCAUCAGCCAGACACCCAUCAGGGAUGGGGCACAUGAUUGGAGCCGACCGGGUGAGGCGGCGAACACGCGCGCUUGGCUCGUGUGGUCGUAGUUUUAUCAUCAUCUUUAAAAAGGAUGCUUGGGUAGGGCAGGCGAGCACGGCACGGGCUGGACGCGAUUUCAUGGAGUUGUUGCGCCUUGUCCUUUUGGCGCGACGAACGGACGGUCCUCCUCCAUGCUGGUGCGGUGGUGCCGUGGUGUUGGUGCGGGGGGACAGCUGGGAUUGGGACUGGUCGGCGUGUGGUGGACGUGGACCGGACGAACGUUCACAUGGCGCCGUGAAUCGAGUUCAGUGCCCCACUUGUGACCCAUCGAAAUGGAGAGAGUACUACACUACUGCUGUCUUCGUCUAGAAAAACGUAUAUAUGCAAUUCUAACGUGCAACUCACUUUAAUAUGCCAGUUAUAAAAAAAACAAAUCCAUUUAUUA